CCUACGGGAGGCAGCAGUGAGGAAUAUUGGUCAAUGGGCGCGAGCCUGAACCAGCCAAGUAGCGUGAAGGAUGACUGCCCUACGGGUUGUAAACCUCUUUUAUAAAGGAAUAAAGUGAGCCACGUGUGCCUUUUUGUAUGUACUUUAUGAAUAAGGAUCGGCUAACUCCGUGCCAGCAGCCGCGGUAAUACGGAGGAUCCGAGCGUUCUCCGGAUUUAUUGGGGUUAAAGGGGGCGUAGGGGGGUUGUUAAGUCAGUUGUGAAAGUUUGCGGCUCAACCGUAGAAUUGCAGUUGAAACUGGCAGUCUUGAGUGCGGGAGAGGUGGGCGGAAUUCGUGGUGUAGCGGUGAAAUGCUUAGAUAUCACGAAGAACUCCGAUUGCGAAGGCAGUUCACUGGACUGCAACUGACGCUGAGGCUCGAAAGUGUGGGUAUCGAACAGGAUUAGAUACCCGGGUAGUC
rnacentral:rRNA from 1 species